rnacentral:rRNA from 1 species
AAUAGAUACCCGGGUAGUCCACGCCGUAAACGAUGAGUGCUAAGUGUUAGAGGGUUUCCGCCCUUUAGUGCUGCAGCUAACGCAUUAAGCACUCCGCCUGGGGAGUACGGCCGCAAGGCUGAAACUCAAAGGAAUUGACGGGGGCCCGCACAAGCGGUGGAGCAUGUGGUUUAAUUCGAAGCAACGCGAAGAACCUUACCAGGUCUUGACAUCCUCUGACACUCCUAGAGAUAGGACGUUCCCCUUCGGGGGGACAGAGUGACAGGUGGUGCAUGGUUGUCGUCAGCUCGUGUCGUGAGAUGUUGGGUUAAGUCCCGCAACGAGCGCAACCCUUGUUCUUAGUUGCCAGCAUUCAGUUGGGCACUCUAAGGAGACUGCCGGUGACAAACCGGAGGAAGGUGGGGAUGACGUCAAAGUCAUCAUGCCCCUUAUGACCUGGGCUACACACGUGCUACAAUGGAUGGUACAAAGGGCAGCAAAGCCGCGAGGCCUAGCAAAUCCGAUAAAACCCGAUUCUCAGUUCGGAUUGCUCUC